rnacentral:rRNA from 1 species
AUACGGAGGGGGCUAGCGUUGUUCGGAAUUACUGGGCGUAAAGCGCACGUAGGCGGACUGAUCAGUUGGGGGUGAAAUCCCAGGGCUCAACCCUGGAACUGCCUCCAAUACUGUCAGUCUUGAGAUCGGAAGAGGUGAGUGGAAUUCCUAGUGUAGAGGUGAAAUUCGUAGAUAUUAGGAGGAACACCAGUGGCGAAGGCGGCUCACUGGUCCGAUACUGACGCUGAGGUGCGAAAGCGUGGGGAGCAAACAGGAUUAGAUACCCUAGUAGUCC